CAAACCCACGUUGCGAAAUCGCAGCUUAUUCCCCAAAUCGCGGCAGCGGCGGUGAGGCUUUUCAGGCCGGUGGCGGUGAGAGUUUUCUGGCCGGUGGCUAUGCGGGUUCUCAGACCGGUGGCGGAGCGCGUUUCCCGACCGACGGCUGGACGAAGGCUGCGGCCGCCGUGAGCGUUAGGUCUGGGCGCCGGGGACGAACGGAAGAUGGGCGGCGCGGGCGAACCCAAGGUCGACGAAUGGAAGAUGGGCGGAUGUGUACUACAACCCGAAGAGAUCAUCACAGGACGAUAAACAGAGGAUGAGCUGCACAAGUUUGAUUUUAGGUUGCUGCAGAACUAGUUUGAUGCUGAGAAGGUUGAUGAGAAGGCAAAAAAUGGAGAAGAAGAAUAUGUCAAGGAUGAACAAGGAGAUCGAGACUGGACUGUAGGGAUGCUUCUGUAUUCUGUUUUCAUGAUGUUUGGUCUGUUAUUAAGUUUGAAGCAGCUCAGAAGUGAUUAGAAGUAUAAUAGAUGUAGUAGUAGUAUUGGUGCUUGUACUGAAUGUUAUUCAUUUUCAGAAUUUUGAAUGGAAAUGUUGCUUUUGAGGUGCAAAAUUCAGUAAUUUGCCUCUA